GUUCGGUAGUUCCAGCACGAACUUACGAGCUCCUGGAGGUCUCAGCGGUGUUCGCCUGUUUGCGUAUCCGUUUUUAGUUCCAUGCGUUCACAGGCAAACACCGCCGUUCGUGCGUAAGAUGGCCGCGAACACGUGUAAAGUCCCGAAAUGGCGGCCAUCUAACCUGAGCACAAAGGGAUUCGUCUGAACCAUGCGAACGGCUCAACAAUCACUGGGAGGUAAAAUAGCAAUUAACUGUUCCCCUGGGUGGUCUGAUGUUCGGUAUUUUGGGCUGUAUGUUACAGUAGCAAUAUUCACACGAAAACCAGCCAUUCGGUUUCUGUUUAACACAUCCAGCAGCAUUGUUAAUUAAGUCCAGGCAAAAGUAUAGGCAUAAUCAUAGUUCUGUUACACUGCUCCCCUUUUGUGGAACACUCCGGCAGACCCGGAUUGAUCCUUUUCGGGUCAACUUGAGGCUGUCCGGUCUCUAGUCAAGGUAAAAGUUCCGUUUGCCUGGACAGUCCGUCUGCAUUCCCAUUGAACCAGCCAGGGCGAUACUGGAUGGAGAAGUUGUACGGUUGUAGUGCCAGGCUCCAUCUUAGUAAUCGUCCAUUGUCCCCAGCCACUCGGUUCAGCCAUACUAGGGGGUUAUGGUCUGUGAUCAAUGUGAGGUAUGGGUGAGCUUCUUUAGGGCCCAGACCAGGGCUAGACACUCCUUUUCCACUGCCGCGUAGCUCACUUCUCUGGGUAAUAGUUUCCUACUCAGGUACGCGACAGGGUGUUCCCCUCCAUCUUCCCUGACCUGGCUCAGAACUGCCCCCAGUCCGUACAUGGACGCAUCUGUAUGGACAACAAAUCUUUUGUUAGGGACGGGGGCAGACAAAACCGGUGCGUUGAUCAGGGCUUGUUUCAGGGUUUGGAACGCUGUUUCGCAGGCGGGAGACCACAGGACUACUCUAGGCAAAUUUUUCUUUGUCAAAUCUGUCAGGGGUUUAGCGAUGGCGCUGUAGUCAGGGACAAAUUUCCUGUAAUAUCCCGCAGUCCCUAAGAAUGCCAGUACUUGGGUCUUGGUGUGGGGUGUGGGCCAAUUGGCUACAGCUUCCACCUUAGCGGGUUCUGGUCGCUGUUUCCCACACCCUACCCUGUGUCCCAAGUACUGUACUUUGGCCAUUCCGAAAUUACAUUUCUCUGGUUUCAGAGUUAGGCCUGCGGCCCUAAUCUGAUCCAGCACAGCCUCUACAUGUCUUAAAUGCUCUCCCCAAGUCUCACUAUAGAUCGCAAUGUCAUCCAGGUAUGCGCAUGCAAAUUCCUGAAAGCCAUCAAGGAGAUGGUCCACUAAGCGCUGAAAUGUAGCUGGGGCGUUUUUCAUCCCGAAUGGCAUGACCUUAAACUGGUACAAGCCAUACGGGGUGACAAACGCCGACUUAGGGAUAGCGUCCUUGGCCAGGGGAAUCUGCCAGUACCCUUUGCACAGAUCGAUGGUGGUCAGAUAGCGUCCCCUGGCAAUACGAUCUAAUAGUUCGUCUACUCGGGGCAUGGGGUAUGCGUCUGUCACGGUCCGGUCAUUGAGGCGUCGAUAAUCGACACAGAAUCGAGUUGUUCCGUCCUUUUUGGGGACUAGGACAACUGGGGAGGCCCAGGGGCUGUCGGACGGCUCUAUGACUCCCAGUUUUAACAUCUCCUGAAUCUCCUUUCUCAUUUCCUCUUUUACAGCUUCAGG